CCUACGGGUGGCAGCAGUGGGGAAUAUUGCGCAAUGGGCGAAAGCCUGACGCAGCGACGCCGCGUGAGGGAUGAAGGUCUUCGGAUCGUAAACCUCUGUCAGGAGGGAAGAAGUGGUUAUAUGCGAAUAGUGUAUGAAUUUGACGGUACCUCCAAAGGAAGCACCGGCCACCUCCGUGCCAGCAGCAGCGGUAAUACGGAGGGUGAGAGCGUUAAUCGGAAUCACUGGGCGGAAAGCCCGCGUAGGCGGCUUUUCAAGUCAGGGGUGAAAUCCCACGGCCCAACCCUGGAACUGCCCUUGAAACUGUAGAGCUUGAGUGUGGGAGAGGGUGGCGGAAUUCCGGGUGUAGGAGUGAAAUCCGUAGAUAUCUGGAGGAACACCGGUGGCGAAGGCGGCCACCUGGACGACAACUGACGCUGAGGUGCGAAGGCGUGGGUAGCAAACAGGAUUAGAUACCCUUGUAGUC
rnacentral:rRNA from 1 species